UACGAAGGGGGCUAGCGUUGCUCGGAAUCACUGGGCGUAAAGCGCACGUAGGCGGCUUUCUAAGUCAGGUGUGAAAUCCUGGAGCUCAACUCCAGAACUGCCUUUGAUACUGGGGAGCUCGAGUCCGGAAGAGGUGAGUGGAACUCCGAGUGUAGAGGUGAAAUUCGUAGAUAUUCGGAAGAACACCAGUGGCGAAGGCGGCUCACUGGUCCGGUACUGACGCUGAGGUGCGAAAGCGUGGGGAGCAAACGGG
rnacentral:rRNA from 1 species